rnacentral:lncRNA from 1 species
CAGAGAUCUAACCCCAUACAUAUACCCACAUACAAAUCAUCCUGAAUAUUACUUUCCAGAGAAUUGAAAUCUGGAGGAGAGAAACUCCCUCAUUCUGUCAUCACUGUCUGCUGACUUCGGUGAAACAUAAAGGCGCCCAGGCACAGGAAGAAUGAGAAUAGGUCGGAGGAGCCAAGAUGGCUGAAUAGGAACAGCUCCGGUCUACAGCUCCCAGCGUGAGCGACACAGAAGACGGGUGAUUUCUGCAUUUCCAUCUGAGGUACCAGGUUCAUCUCACUAGGGAGUGCCAGACAGCGGGCGCAGGUCAGUGGGUGCACGCACCAUGCGCGAGCCAAAGCAGGGCGAGGCAUUGCCUCACUUGGGAAGCGCAAAGGGUCAGGGAGUUCCCUUUCCGAGUCAAAGAAAGGGGUGACGGACGC